CAUCGAUGAAAACAUCGAUGCAUCGAUAUUUUUAAAAUUUUCUAAAUCAUCGAUGUUAUUUUUCAACCAUCGAUGUUUCUGUGCCGUCACUAUUAAGAAAAAAGGCAAAGGAAAGUAAUAGAACAUUCAAUUGGUGGAGCAGGCGACGGCGCUAAGAUGGACAAAUUUUGGCCACUAAGGAUGCACUAACCAUUGCUUUGCUGGGCACUGCAAAGGCCCCUUUGCCCUUUGUGUCAGAGGAUCUCGAGAUCUUAGAAGAACUGUGCACGUUAUUGAGUCCUUUCGACAAAGCGACAAAAAGGAUUUCGGGUGGAAAGUACCCCACGAUAUCUUUGAUUAUUCCUAUUAAUUGCGAAAUGCAAAUUCAAAUAACUAGCUUAAAGGACAGUUUUAAAACACCAGAGGUCAUACUAGCCUUUGAUGCUAUUGAUGGACGCUUUGCAGAACGUUUCGCUCCUUACAAAUCCCGAUCAGUAACAAGGAUUGCCACGAUAAUUGACCCGAGGUUCAAAAAACUGGGUUUUUGCACCCGGAGCAAUGCCGACCAGGCAUGCCAUGGGUUGGAGGAGGAGCUCAUCAUUGCCAUUAGAAAGUUGUCUGCGUCGGAAAAGCCUGCACCACCAAGCCAGACUAAACCAUCGGACUAUUUCACUUGCUUGCAAGCAAAAUUGCAAGCGAAAAAUAGCACGGCGCGCUCCGAAGCCAUAGUUAUGCUCAGGCAGCAUAUUGAAACUUCAAAUGAGGCCGAAGUGUGCGAGCCGUUGCAAUAUUGGAAGGAAUCGUCGAACAGUAUGGCGCCCUUUAAAGAAGUGGUCAAAAAAUGUAUAUGUAUCCCUGCCACUUCCUGCGAGUCAGAAAGAGCCUUCAGCAAGGCGGGGCAAAUUAUUUCUGACCGCAGGACGCGCCUAAAGCCUGACGUCGUCGACAAACUUAUGUUUAUUAACAAAAAUUAUAGUUUUCUUAAAAAUGUUUAAUUUAGUUAUAAGAAAUGAUCUCCGAAAUGAUCUCUCUCUCAGUCUAAAACACCAAGUGAAUAAAUGUUAUGUUAUAUAUUUUUAAUACAACCACAA